AAGGUCCCCUCUCUAUUCCAUAUAUUAUUCUUACAUGGUAUUUUACUUGUUUGCAUAAUUGUUCAUGGGUUGCACAUCUUGGAAGCAGUAUUUGCCAUCGACCUCAAAUUUUACCUUUGAGAGCACUUGUAGAAAACAACGCAAAUGAACACGCCGCGCUAAGUAACUGAAAAAAACGUAGCAAGAUUAAGCUUCCAGUUUUAACCAAAAACAAAAAGUAUAUUUUUUUUGUUAAUAUAAUCUUUGUUUUGAAUAUAACUGUGUGCAGAAGUGAGCAGUAUUGAAUGGGAGUUUAUCAAUAUGACAGAACAAGAAGAAGAUCUCAUCUUUCGAAUGCAUAGACUUGUCGGUGAUAGGUAACAAUUUCUUCUUCCUCUUUUUAUAUCAAUUUAUCUCGGCCCAAAGAGAAAUGAUAUUCUAUAAAAUAUUUCCAGGUUAACAUACGUUAACUAGUUUUAAAGAAACAUACGUUAAUUUAGGCAUGUACUUACAUUUGUAGUUGUGCAGUGUACCAUGUUGUAGAGGGAAGCACAUGGCGUCCACUAAUUUUCUUAAAAACAUUUAGUUAAAGCUAUCGCGUUCAUUAAAUUAUACAUAUAUUCAUAUAUAAAGUCGAGAACCUAGUAAGUACUUAUGAAUAAAUGCUUGUAUGGCUCUAAAUAGAACCCGAAUUGACAAAAUAAAAAUAUAAAAGUGUAAUUUGUG
rnacentral:lncRNA from 1 species